rnacentral:rRNA from 1 species
UACGUAGGAGGCAAGCGUUGUCCGGAAUUACUGGGCGUAAAGCGCGUGUAGGUGGUGGGACAAGUCUGCUGUGAAAGCGCCUGGCUUAACCGGGCGAGGUCGGCGGAAACUGUCCGACUCGAGGACGGUAGAGGGGGGUGGAAUUCCCGGUGUAGUGGUGAAAUGCGUAGAGAUCGGGAGGAACACCUGUGGCGAAGGCGGCCCCCUGGGCCGGGCCUGACGCUGAGACGCGAGGGCGUGGGGAGCGAACGGG